GACGGAGGAUGCAAGCGUUAUCCGGAAUUAUUGGGCGUAAAGCGUCCGCAGGUGGCUGUUCAAGUCUGCUGUCAAAGCGCAGAGCUUAACUCUGUACAGGCGGUGGAAACUGAAGAGCUAGAGUAUGGUAGGGGUAGAGGGAAUUCCCGGUGUAGCGGUGAAAUGCGUAGAUAUCGGGAAGAACACCGAUGGCGAAGGCAGGUCUCUGGGCAUUAACUGACGCUGAGGAGCGAAAGCAUGGGGAGCGAACAGG
rnacentral:rRNA from 1 species